rnacentral:rRNA from 1 species
GAUGAACGCUGGCGGCGUGCUUAACACAUGCAAGUCGAACGAUGAAGCCCAGCUUGCUGGGUGGAUUAGUGGCGAACGGGUGAGUAACACGUGAGUAACCUGCCCUUAACUCUGGGAUAAGCCUGGGAAACUGGGUCUAAUACCGGAUAGGAGCGUCCACCGCAUGGUGGGUGUUGGAAAGAUUUAUCGGUUUUGGAUGGACUCGCGGCCUAUCAGCUUGUUGGUGAGGUAAUGGCUCACCAAGGCGACGACGGGUAGCCGGCCUGAGAGGGUGACCGGCCACACUGGGACUGAGACACGGCCCAGACUCCUACGGGAGGCAGCAGUGGGGAAUAUUGCACAAUGGGCGCAAGCCUGAUGCAGCGACGCCGCGUGAGGGAUGACGGCCUUCGGGUUGUAAACCUCUUUCAGUAGGGAAGAAGCGUAAGUGACGGUACCUGCAGAAGAAGCACCGGCUAACUACGUG